rnacentral:lncRNA from 1 species
UGACCUCUCCGGGUCAAGAUGAAGCAGGCGAGAUCCUGAAAGGUCAUUCAAAGGCUUAGCUCUCGGUAAGAUUCUUCUUCCUGCUCACUGACAGUUCUGGAGAAGGACCGACUACUGCUCGUCCAGUUGUAGCAGUGCUGGGAAGUCAAUGACAAGUGCUCGGGGAUCAUUAAGUUCCCACUUCAUUAGACGGAACCAGUAACAACAUCUACCCACCCACCUCCAUUUACUCUCACCGUCUCCGCUGUUCUCUCUAGGGUAGCCCCAAACCCUCCCCGUCCCUUGCAUGGCUUCCUGCUGUCACGCACCGUCCCUGCAGUAACUCGUGAUAACAGGUGGGGUGGGCCAGAGGUUGCUCUCGUU